rnacentral:rRNA from 1 species
GGGUGUGUAAGUGCAGCGAUGCAUUGAGCUAACCAGUACUAAUGAUCCGUGAGGCUUAACCUUACAACACCGAAGGUGUU